CCCUUCUGAGUGUAGCGACGUGAUAAAGCGGAAACAGAAUAGGCACCAUCGGGUGCGCCUUUGUCCCUGAUGCGGUGGGAAACGGCUGGAAAUAUGAGCACCACCGGAGACAGGUGCAUUCAGGUUUUGAGGCAAUAAAGUGUAACAAAAACCGGAAAUGGACACUCAUACUAAAACCUGAGGGAAUCCCAGCAAUUUGGUCCAUUUCUUCUAUGAAGAAAUAACUUUGGUUGUUGGUUGUUAUUUGAAGAUAUGUGUUUUCUUCCUCUCUCUUCAAUUUGAUUUGGUUGUAGCUGCGGCAGUGUUUUGCCAUGUGAAGGAUAGGUAUUUCAAGAAAUGACCUACCUCGGUAUUAUAUUUAUUACCUCAUAAUGUGGCUAUUGAAGUUCUGAUGUUCAGACUCUAAAGAGCUCACUGGGAAGAUUUCUGCCUGUCCCAGAAAUGUGAGCGGACCCAAAGCUGCCUGCAGGAACCUGACAAUAUAAGGCUCAAUAUAUAAGAAACAGAAGGCGUAUGGUUUACCCAGGCCCACAGAGUAAGCCAAUAUGAACUAAUUGAGCCACACAAUGAGAUGAGGAACUAAGAUAACAAUACCACUCGAUGAUGAGUAUUUAAAAGAACACUAAAUACUAAAUACUAAAGAAUACUAAAGAAAGAGUGCCUUGUGCAGGCUGUUUAGACCAGCAAUAAUUCCAGGACUGAAGACGGAGCAGGGAAGAUGCAGCACACGGUGUGUUUACUCCUGCUGUUUAUACAGAAAUAGUUCUUUAAAUGAGCAUCACAUACGAUCUUGUCAUCAUUAUUGAACAACUUCAUAUCCCACCAUCAACAUUGGUUAAAAACAAAAGAAAGAAUGAGUCUCCACCCGCACAGGUGUGCACAGUCCACUCUCGGGCUUGUGGACAGGAAGGAGGAGCAGAGGAUGCUGCUGAUGCUGCCGGAGCCAGGGGUCCUGAAACCACAACCACAUGGCGGCUUCUGUCGUUGGCCUGUUGAUGGCAUCAUAUUUUUGGUCAAAGUAAAGAUGAGGAUUGAGGGAAUUGCUUAGAGACUUCUGGCAAAAUUGGACAUAUUCUCUCAAUUAUUAGAAUAAUGGGCACAGCUUGAAAGAUUCCAAUUGUGGUAAAGAUGGAUGAACUCUUGAAAAAGGAGAUCUCUCACAGAGCCAAUGAUCAUCUCUGCCUUGAGAAUGUGUGUGUGGUCUGGGGGCAUCUCCGAACCACGAUCUUGUGAGGUGGGUUCAGACUGGUGAAGAGCGCAUGGUCAGAGAGCUUGGAUGAGAAUCCUCACUCCACCACUUAUCGGCUGUGUGACUUUAGCAAGUUUCUCUGGAUUUUCAGAGUGAGUGGAUUUUUCUGGAUGCGACUGUCUCUUAGAUGUGGUUCCUUGGGUUAGCAGCCUCUCCCUGGAGGGAAGUCCACUUUUUAGGUCUGGAUGGUUGUCUCCAGCCCCCAUUCUAUGUUGACCACAGAUUUUUCUCACUGUCGCCUAUGACAACCCCAGAUUUGUCACAGUUCAGGGGACUUUAGAGAUCAUCUUGCCAAGUUCUAGUUUAAAGUUCAGUAAAGUGACUCUGUAGUUAGGGAGACUGAGGUUCAGGGACAUUCUCACUCAAAAGUCUCAUUUUAACCUGCUGUCCUAGGUGUAAACACUUACAUUUCUUGGUAUGAGAAAAACUGAAGUUUUCACUAAAUCCCCAAUUAAUGUGAUUGCUUAUGAAUGCCCAAUUCAUUUUAUCAUUCUAUUGUGUACUAUCAUUUUAUCAUUUAUUGUGUAUUAUCAUUUUCAAUAUUUGGAAGUUUAACUUGUGAUUUCCUCCUUGAUAAUUGUAACUAUCACUGUUUUCCAAGUAAAAUUAUUUUUCCUUUCAGACGUAUAUAUCUAGAUCAAAGUGAUUUCUAAAAAAUCAAUAAAAGAUUACCAAGCAAUUUUUAUGGUAGAAAA
rnacentral:lncRNA from 1 species